GACUCUCGGCAACGGAUAUCUCGGCUCUUGCAUCGAUGAAGAACGUAGCGAAAUGCGAUACUUGGUGUGAAUUGCAGAAUCCCGUGAACCAUCGAGUCUUUGAACGCAAGUUGCGCCCGAGGCCUUCUGGCCGAGGGCACGUCUGCCUGGGCGUCA
rnacentral:rRNA from 2 species